UAUGUUUUAUGAAAAUAGCUGUAUUUUCUAAAACGAACAACAAUAAAAGAUGAGUGAGUAGAAUGCAUGGUUUCAAUUUUUGCAAAUCUCUUUAGUGUCUUCCUUAAUAGAAGACAGCUGGCUUCUCAGAGCUGCUUCUGCAGUCCGUCUAUUGUAGCGUUGCAUGUCGUGUGGUCUCUGGAAAACUCCACCGUGCACAUGGAAGAGAAAGAGUGAAAAAGGCAAAUAUCCUCUUAGUAUUGUUAGGAAACUAGUUUUGACUUCACAUACUCCCUGAAAGACUUGGGGUCUGGAACCACACUUGGAACUGCUGCUGGGAUGCAGUGAUGGAGAAAGGGCUCACAGGAGCGCAAGGCCUCAGAGAGGAGUCGUCAACUAUGUGAAGACUUCCGGCUUUAAAAAGCAUGGAGGUUGUUGCUGGGUGCGGUGGUUCACACCUGUAAUCCCAGUACUUUGGGAGGCCAAGGCGGGCGGAUCGCUUGAGGUCAGCUCAAGGCCAGUCUGGCCAACAUGGUGAAACCCUGUCUCUACUAAAAAUACAAAAAUUAGCCGGGCAUGGUGGCCCACUUCUGAAGCCCCAGCUACUCGGGAGGCUGAGGCAGGAGAAUCGCUUGAACCCUGGAAGCGGAGGUUGCAGUGAGCUGAGAUUGGGCCACCGCACUCCAGACUGGGCAACAAGAGCGAAACUCCAUCUCAAAAACAAAACAAAACAAAAGCAUGGAAAUUGUACGGUGAGCUUCAGUGCGAAUUCCGGUCGUGACUUGGUCUUAGAAUAGCUGAGGGACUAUGGACAGGUACCCUGCCCUCUCUGAACCUCAGUUUCCCGGUCUGCUUUAUGAAAAGAGUGGCCUCUGGCCGGGCGCGGUGGCUCACGCCUGCAGUCCCAACACUUUGGGAGGCCGGGGCUGGCGGAUCAUGAGGUCAGGAGAUCAAGACCAUCCUCGCUAACAUGGUGAAACCCCGUCUCUAUUAAAAAUACAAAAAAAAAAAAAAAUUAGCAGGGCGUGGUGUUGGGCGCCUGUAGUCCCAGCUACUCGGGAGGC
rnacentral:lncRNA from 1 species